UACGAAGGGGGCGAGCGUUGUUCGGAUUUACUGGGCGUAAAGGGCGCGUAGGCGGCGGGUCAAGUCGAGUGUGAAAGCCCCGGGCUCAACCUGGGAAUUGCGCUCGAGACUGGUCUGCUUGAGUUCGGGAGAGGAGAGUGGAAUUCCCAGUGUAGAGGUGAAAUUCGUAGAUAUUGGGAAGAACACCGGUGGCGAAGGCGGCUCUCUGGACCGAGACUGACGCUGAGGUGCGAAAGCGUGGGGAGCAAACAGG
rnacentral:rRNA from 1 species